UACGGGGGGGGCAAGCGUUGUUCGGAAUUACUGGGCGUAAAGGGCUCGUAGGCGGCCAACUAAGUCAGACGUGAAAUCCCUCGGCUUAACCGGGGAACUGCGUCUGAUACUGGAUGGCUCGAGGUUGGGAGAGGGAUGCGGAAUUCCAGGUGUAGCGGUGAAAUGCGUAGAUAUCUGGAGGAACACCGGUGGCGAAGGCGGUUCUCUGGGCCUUACCCUGACGCUGAGGAGCGAAAGCGUGGGGAGCGAAACAGGG
rnacentral:rRNA from 1 species